AGUAGUAACAAGAGCAUUUUUUCCGUCUCGCCUCUGCUUCUGCU
rnacentral:misc_RNA from 2 species